AUUCCCUUAUCAACAACAUACGCGAGCUACCACCACAAAACGCAAACAUGGCCCUUCCUCCCCUCCUGCUCUCCUAUCUCCCUACUCUUCUCGUUGUUCUCGCACUGCUGUCUUCACUUCUUCUCGCAGGUCGGAAGGCAAGAGGUGGCUCGGCGACCUGGAAACUCCCUCCAGGCCCACCCAAGCUCCCCGUCAUCGGCCACCUCCACCUCUUGGGGAGCAGCUUGCUGCAUCGCUUCCUUUGGGAACUCUCCAAGAAACAUGGACCUCUCAUGCACUUGAAACUUGGUCGAGUCCCCGUUGUCGUCGUGUCCUCGCCGGAGAUGGCUAAGGAAGUGCUCAAGAUACACGACCUUGAGUGCUGCAGUCGGCCUUCGCUCCUCUCCCUUUCCAAGUUUUCAUACGGUCUCUCCGACGUCGCCUUCAUCCCAUACGGAGAACGAUGGAGGCAGCUUCGGAAGUUCUGCACCGUCGAACUCUUCAGCACCAGGAAGAUCAACUCUUUUAGGGACAUAAGAAGAGAAGAGAUGGAGCGAGUGACGAAACUGAUAUGUUCUCACGCUCGCGCUUCAACCACAGUCAACCUGAGCGAGUUUAGUUGAUAGAAGAGUGGUAAAUGCCAAUCAAAGGAGUAGAGGAGGUUGGCAAGCACAAGUUCCACCAUUAACAUUCCAAGAUUCUUACCGGGGCAGAUCCUUCGACCUUCGCCAAAUGGAAGUAGCAGCGGAGCGGGAGGGUGCAGCCUCAUCGUCUCCUUGAUGACACACUUGAAGAAUGAAGUUGGUGAAGGUCACUCUCCUCCACCUCCCCUUUGCUUCCGACACAUCCUCUUACCUCGUCUUGUGC